rnacentral:rRNA from 1 species
UACAGAGGGUGCGAGCGUUGUCCGGAAUCACUGGGCGUAAAGGGCGCGUAGGUGGCGAUCCAAGUCCAUGGUGAAAGCUCGAUGCUCAACAUCGAGUCGGCCACGGAUACUGGGUUGCUUGAGCACUGUAGGGGCAGAUGGAAUUCCGGGUGUAGCGGUGGAAUGCGUAGAGAUCCGGAAGAACACCGGUGGCGAAGGCGGUCUGCUGGGCAGUUGCUGACACUGAGGCGCGGACAGCGUGGGGAGCAAACAGGG